rnacentral:tRNA from 1 species
GCCAGUGUGGUGCAGUGGUUUGCAUACUGGACUCUGAUUCUGGAGAUCAGGGUUUGAAUCUCCACUCAGCCA